GGUUUAGUUUUUCUUAUUGAUUUUUAGGGUUUAGGAUUUCUUAGUGAUUUUUUAGGGUUUAGGAUCUUAGGUUUUAGGGUAUUAGGGUUUAUAAGGGUUUAAGGUUUAGGAGUUUCUUAGGGUUUCUUCGUUUAGGUUUUUGCGAUUCGUAUUUUAGGUUAAGUCUUUUUUAGGGUUUAUGGUUUUUUUUAGGUUUAUGAUUUUUAUGAUUAAGGUUUUUAAAUGUUUUAGGGUUUCUUAGGUUUUUUUAAGAAUUUGGAUUUCUUAACAUUUAGGAUUACGUAAGCCUAAUAUAUUUAGGGUUUUUUCUAGGGCUUAUGGUUUUAAAAGGAAUUUUUUUCCUCGGGUAUUAUAGGUUUAGGUGUUUAAAUGUAUUUUAGGGUGUAGGAUUUCUUAGGAUUCCAUAUGGAUUGGGGUUUAAGGUUUAGCCCUAUGAUUUAGAGUUUCUUAGGGUAUAUUAUUUAGCAUUUUAGGAUUUUCCUAGGGUUUGGUUUUUUUAAGGGUUUUUAGGAUUUAGGGUUUAGUGUUUUAGGUUUAGGGUUUUUCUAGAAUAGGGUUUAGGUUUGUUAGGUUUAAGAUUUUUUAGAGGUUUUCUAAAGUUAGAGUUUAUAAAAAUAAAUUUAUUGCUUUCUAGGGUUUUGGGUUUCUUAUUGCUCUUUUGGGUUUAGGGUUUGGGGUUUUCUUAGGGUUAGGGUUUAGGGCUAAUGAUUUUUAAGGGUUUAGGGUUCAAGGUUUAGAGUUUAGGAUUUAGGGUUCUUUAGGUUUAGGGGUUUUAAAAGUUUUUUAGGGUUUUUUUUAUUUCUUAAAGUUUAGGGUUUCUUUGGGUAUAAGGUCUAAGUUUUUAUUUAAGGGUUUUUAAGGUUUAGGGCUUAAGUUUUUGUUGAAUAUUUUAGGUUUAGAGUUUUUUUAGGUUUAGGAUUUUAAAAGGAGUUUUCAAGAUUGUUAUGAUUUCCUACGGUUUAGGGAUUCUUAGGGCUUAGAAUUUCUUUGGGUUGAGGGCUUAGGAUUUUAAAUUUAGGGUUUUUAGGGGUUACAGGUUUUAAUUGUGUUUUUAGGUUUAGUAUUUUUAAAGGUGUUUUUAGGAUUUAGGGUUUAGUGUUUUAGGUUUAGGGUUUUUCUAGAAUAGGGUUUAGGUUUGUUAGGUUUAAGAUUUUUUAGAGGUUUUCUAAAGUUAGAGUUUAUAAAAAUAAAUUUAUUGCUUUCUAGGGUUUUGGGUUUCUUAUUGCUCUUUUGGGUUUAGGGUUUGGGGUUUUCUUAGGGUUAGGGUUUAGGGCUAAUGAUUUUUAAGGGUUUAGGGUUCAAGGUUUAGAGUUUAGGAUUUAGGGUUCUUUAGGUUUAGGGGUUUUAAAGUUUUUUUUUAGGUUUUUGAGGUUUUAGUUUUUCUUAGUGAAUUUUAGGGUUUAGGAUUUCUUAGUGAUUUUUUAGGGUUUAGGGUUUAGGAUCUUAGGUUUUAGGGUAUUAGGGUUUAUAUGGGUUUAAGGUUUAGAGUUUUUAGGGUUUCUUCGUUUAGGUUUUAGGAAUUCGGAUUUUAGGUUAAGAGAUUUUUAGUGUUUAUGGUUUUUUUUAAGUUUAUGAGUUUUAUGAUUAAGGUUUUCAAAUGGUUUAGGGUUUCUUUGUGUAUAAGGUCUAAGUUUUUAUUUAAGGGUUUUUAAGGUUUAGGGCUUACGUUUUUGUUGAAUUUUUUAGGUUUAGAGUUUUUUUAGGUUUAGGAAUUUAAAAGGGGUUUUCGGGAUUGUUAUUAUUUCCUACAGUUUAGGGGUUCUUAGGGCUUAGAAUUUCUUUGGGUUUAGGGCUUAGGAUUUUAAAAUUUAGGGUUUUUAGGGGUUACGGGUUUUAAGGGUGUUUUUAGGUUUAGUAUUUUUAAACGUGUUUUUAGGCUUUAGGGUUUGUUGGUGUUUUACUAGUCUUGAGGUUUAGGGGUUUCCCUAAGGUUUAGGGUUUAGUGUUUCUUAGGGUUUAGGAUUUUAAAAGGGGUUUUCAAGAUUGGUAUGAUUUCUUACGAUUUAGGGGUUCUUAAGGCUUAGGGUUUCUUUGGGUUAAGGGCUUAGGAUUUUAAAUUUAGGGUUUUUAGUGGGUUACGAGUUUAAAGGGUGUUUUUAGGAUUUAGGGUUUGUUGGUGUUUCAUAAAUCUUGGGGUUUCCCUAAGGUUUAGGGUAUAGUGUUUCUUAGGGUUUAGGGCUUCUUAGGGGUUUUAGAUUUCUUAGAUUAGGCUUUUAAAGGUGUUGAUCUAAUAUGCUUAUGAUACGCCAACUCAAGGUUAGCUUGGGGUCACUCGUGAUCCUAGGUCUCGAGUUACGUCAAGCGGGUAACCUCGGGCAGUAAGAAAAACAAUGUAUGAAUAAAACCCUCUAACUAACUAGAGAUGCCGGGACAAGCCACCAUCUAACUCUAGCAAAACUGAAACUAAAAUGAAUGACUGAAUAUAAAAACAUGUAAAUCGUCCUCCAAAAACGAGGACUGACCACUGAUAUUGCUGAAUACGGAUCGGGAACCGAUAUCCGCGUGAUCUGAAUGCAGAGGACCUGAACCUACAUCAAGAGAAGAGGUAGCAUAGAGUAUGUAUUAGCAGUUGAAAGAUUCUGAGCAUGCAUGACAUGACAAAGCUGAACAAAUAUAUAUAACUUAACAGAGCAUAUUGAAGAAUAACAUAAUCUGAACAUGAUGAAUAAGAGUUUAGCUUUUUGUUGAAGGGAUUUUAGGUUAGGGUUUAGAGCUUAAGUUUUUCUAAAAAAAUUUUAGGUCAAGAGUUGUUUUUCAAUUUAGGAUUGAUAAAGAUUUUUUUAGGAUCAAUAUUGUUUUUACGAUAUAUGAGUUCUAAGGGCUUAGGACUUAGGGUUUUAGAUUAAGGAAUUUUUUAGUGUUUUUAAGGUUUGUUUUUGGAAUUUUUAGUUUUAGGGUUUUAAAGGUUUUUAAUUGUUUAGCUCUUCUUAGGAUUUUUUAGGGUUUAGGACUUCUUAGAGUUUCAUAAGGCUUAGGGUUGGGGGUUUAUCCCUAAGGUUUAGGUUUUAAGUUUCUUAGGGUUUGAGUUUAAAAUUUAAGGUCUCCUAAGGUUUUUUUGGGUCAGUUAGGGUGUAGGUGUUUAGGGUUUAGUGUUUUAGGUUUAGGGUUUUUCUACGGUUUAGGGUUUAGGUUUGUUAGGUUUAAGAUUUUUUAGGUUUAGAGUUUUUAAAGCUUUUUUUUGUUGAUUUUUAAUGUUUAUAUUUUUUAAGAUUUAGGAUUUCUUAGGGUUUAGGGCUUCUUAGAGAUUCAUAAGGCUUAGGGUUUGGGGUUUAUCCCUAUGGUUUAGGGUUUAAGCUUUUUAGGGUGUGAGUUUAACAUUUAAGGUCUACUAGGUUUUUUUUUUGGGGCAUUUAGGGUCUAGGGGUUUAGGGUCUAGUGCUUUAGGUUUAGGCGUUUUCUAUGGUUUAGGGUUUUAGGUUUGUUAGGUUUAAGAUUUUUUAGAGGUUUUCUAGGGUUAGACUUUAUAAAAAUAAAUUUAUUGUUUUCUAGGGUUUUGGGUUUCUUAGUGCUUUUUUGGGUUUAGGGUUUUCUUAGGGUUAGGGUUUUGGGCUUAUGAUUUUAAGGGUUUAGGGUUCAAGGUUUAGAGUUUGGGAUUUAGGGUUCUUUAGGUUUAGGGGUUUUAAAGUUUUUUUUUUUUUAGGUUUUUUAUGGUUUAGUCUUUCUUAGUGAUUUUUAGGGUUUAGAAUUUCUUAGUGAUUUUUUUUGGUUUAGGGUUUAGGAUCUUAGGUUUUAGGGUAUUAGGGUUUAUAAGGGUUUAAGGUUUAGGAGUUUCUUAGGGUUUCUUCGUUUAGGUUUUAGGGAUUCGGAUUUUAGGUUAUGUGUUUUUUAGAGUUUAUGGUUUUUUUUAGGUUUAUGAUUUUUAUGAUUAAGGUUUUUAAAUGUUUUAGGGUUUCUUAGGUUUUUUUAAGAAUUUGGAUUUCUUAACAUUUAGGAUUACGUAAGCCUAAUAUAUUUAGGGUUUUUUCUAGGGCUUAUGGUUAUUUUUCAGGGUUUAGUUUUUCUUAGGGAUUUUUAGGGUUUAGGAUUUCUUAGUUAUUUUUUAGGGUUUAGGGUUUAGGAACUUUGGUUUUAAGGUAUUAGGGUUUAUAAGGGUUUAAGGUUUAGGAGUUUCUUAGGGUUUCUUCGUUUAGGUUUUAGGGAUUCGUAUUUUAGGUUAAGUCUUUUUUAGGGUUUAUAGUUUUAUUUAGGUUUAUGAUUUUUAUGAUUAAGGUUUUUAAAUGUUUUAGGGUUUCUUAGGUUUUUUUAAGAAUUUGGAUUUCUUAAGAUUUAGGAUUACGUAAGCCUAAUUAAUAUAUUUAGGGUUUUUCUAGGGCUUAUGGUUUUAAAGGUAUUUUUUUUCCUCGGGUAUUAUAGUUUUAGGUGUUUAAAUGGAUUUUAGGGUGUAGGAUUUCUUAGGAUUCCAUAUGGUUUGGGGUUUAAGGUUUAGCCCUAUGAUUUAGAGUUUCUUAGGGUAUAUUAUUUUAGCAUUUAGGAUUUCUUAGGGUUUGGUUUUUUAAGGGUUUUUAGGAUUUAGGGUUUGGGGCUUAAGAUUUUCUAGGGUUUUAUUAGGUUUAGAGGAAUUUUUAGGUUUAGGGUUUUAAGGUGUUUAGGAUUUUUAUGGUUUGUUAACGAUUAAGGGGUUCUUAGAAUUUACGGAUUUUAUAGGGUUUUUAGGGUGUACGGUUUUUAAAAGUUUAGGGUUUUAAAAGUUUUUUACGGUUUUUUUUUAUUUCUUCAAGUUUAGGGUUUCUUUGGGUAUAAGGUCUACGUUUUUAUUUAAGGAUUUUUUAGGUUUAGGGCUUAAGUUUUUGUUGAAUUUUUUAGGUUUAGAGUUUUUUUUGGUUUAGGAUUUUAAAAGGAGUUUUCAAGAUUGUUAUGAUUUCCUACUGUUUAGGGAUUCUUAGGGCUUAGAAUUUCUUUGGGUUGAGGGCUUAGGAAUUUAAAUUUAGGGUUUUUAGGGGUUACGGGUUUUAAUGGUGUUUUUAGGUUUAGUAUUUUUAAAGGUGUUUUUAGGCUUUAGGGUUUGUUGGUUCUUCACAAGUCUUGAGGUUUAGGGGUUUCUCUAAGGUUUAGGGUUUAGUGUUUCUUAGGGUUUAGGAUUUUAAAAGGGGUUUUCAAGAUUGUUAUGAUUUCUUACGAUUUAGGGAUUCUUAAGGCUUAGGGUUUCUUUUGGUUAAGGUCUUAGGAUUUUAAAUUUAGGGUUUUUAGGGGUUAUGGGUUUUAAGGGUGUUUUUAGGCUUUAGGAUUUCUUAGGAUUUAGGGUUUUAGGGUUUUCAAGGUUUUUAUUGUUUAGCUCUUCUUAGGAUUUCUUAGGGUUUAGGGCUUCUUAGAGUUUCAUAAGGCUUAGGGUUGGGGGUUUAUCCCUAAGGAUUAGGGUUUAGGUUCUUAGGGUUUGAGUUGAACAUUUAAGGUCUCCUAGGUUUUUUUUGGGUCAUUCAGUGUGUAAGGUUUAGGGUUUUAGGCUUAGGGUUUUUCUAGAAUAGGGUUUAGGUUUGUUAGGUUUAAGAUUUAAUAGGUUUAGAGUUUGUAAAGUUUUUUUUGUUGUUUUUUAAUGUUUAUAUUUUCUUAGGAUUUAGGAUUUCUUUGGGUUUAGGGCUUCUUAGAGUUUCAUAAGGCUUAGGGUUGGGGGUUUAUCCCUAAGGUUUAGGGUUUAAGCUUUUUAGGGUGUGAGUUUAACAUUUAAGGUCUACUAGGUUUUUUUUUUGGGUCAUUUAGGGUCUAGGGGUUUAGGGUCUAGUGCUUUAGGUUUAGGCGUUUUCUAUGGUUUAGGGUUUUAGGUUUGUUAGGUUUAAGAUUUUUUAGAGGUUUUCUAGGGUUAGACUUUAUAAAAAUAAAUUUAUUGUUUUCUAGGGUUUUGGGUUUCUUAGUGCUUUUUUGGGUUUAGGGUUUGGGGUUUUCUUAGGGUUAGGGUUUUGGGCUUAUGAUUUUAAGGGUUUAGGGUUCAAGGUUUAGAGUUUGGAAUAUACGGUUCUUUAGGUUUAGGGGUUUUAAAGUUUUUUUUUUUUUAGGUUUUUUAGGGUUUAGUUUUUCUUAGUGAUUUUUAGGGUUUAGGAUUUCUUAGUGAUUUUUUAUGGUUUAGGGUUUAGGAUCUUUGGUUUUAGGGUUUAUAAGGGUUUAAGGUUUAGAGUUUCUUAGGGUUUCUUCGUUUAGGUUUUAGGGAUUCGGAUUUUAGGUUAAGUGUUUUUUAGAGUUUAUGGGUUUUUUUAGGUUGAUAAUUUUUAUGAUUAAGGUUUUCAAAUGUUUUAGGGUUUCUUAGGUAUUUUUAAGAAUUUGGAUUUCUUAAUAUUUAUGAUUACGUAAGCCUAUUAAAUUUAGGGUUUUUUCUAGGGCUUAUGGUUUUAAUGGGAUUUUUUUUUCCUUGGGUAUUAUAGUUUUAGGUAUUUAAAUGGAUUUUAGGGUUUAUGGUUUUUUUUAGGUUUGUGAUUUUUAUGAUUAAGGUUUCUAAAUGUUUUAGGGUUUCUUAGGUUGUUUUAAGAAUUUGGAUUUCUUAACAUUUAGGAUUACGUAAGCCUAAUAUAUUUAGGGUUUUUUCUAGGGCUUAUGGUUUUAAAGGGAUUUUUUUUCCUCGGGUAUUAUAGGUUUAGGUGUUUAAAUGGAUUUUUGUGUGUAGGAUUUCUUAGGAUUCCAUAUGGUUUGGGGUUUAAGGUUUAGCCCUAUGAUUUAGAGUUUCUUAGGGUAUAUUAUUUAGCGUUUAGGAUUUCUUAGAGUUUGGUCUUUUUAAGGGUUUUUUGGUUUUAGGGUUUUGGGCUUAAGAUUUUCUAGGGUUUUAUUAGGUUUAGAGGAAUUUUUAGGUUUAGGGUUUUAAGGUGUUUAGGAUUUUUAUGGUUUGUUAACGAUUAAGGGGUUCUUAGAUCGUACGGAUUUUAUAGGGUUUUUAGGGUUUACGGUUUUUAAAAGUGUUUUAGGGCUUUUUUUUUAUUUCUUAAAGCUUAGGGUUUCUUAAGGUUUAGGGUAGGUUUUUAGGGUUUACGGCUUUUAAAAGUUCAGGGUUUUAAAGGUUUUUUACGGUUUUUUUUAAUUUUUAAACUUUAGGGUUUCUUAAGGCUUAGCCCUAAGGUUUAGGGUUUCUUUGGGUAUAUGGUCUAAGUUUUUAUUUAAGGGUUUUUAAGGUUUAGGGCUUACGUUUUUGUUGAAUUUUUUUGGUUGAGAGUUUUUUAGGUUUAGUAUUUUAAAAAGGGUUUUCUAGAUUGUUAUGAUUUCCUAUGGUUUAGGGGUUCUUAGGGCUUAGAAUUUCUUUGGGUUAAGGGCUUAGGAUUUUAAAUUUAGGGUUUUUAGGGGUUACUGGUUUUAAGGGUGUUUUUAGGUUUAGUAUUUUUAAAAGUGUUUUAAGGCUUUAGGGUUUGUUGGUGUUUCACAAGUCUUGAGGUUUAGGGGUUUCCCUAAGGUUUAGGGUUUAGUGUUUCUUAGGGUUUAGGAUUUUAAAAGGGGUUUUCAAGAUUGUUAUGAUUUCUUACGAUUUAGGGGUUAAGAGUAAGGGUUUCUUUGGGUUAAGGGCUUAGGAUUUUAAAUUUAGGGUGUUUAGGGUUUACGGGAUCUAAGGGUGUUUUUAGGUAUUAGGGUUUGUUGGUGUUUCAUAAGUCUUGGGGUUUCCCUAAGGUUUAGGGUUUAGUGUUUCUUAGGGUUUAGGGUUUCUUAGGGGUUUUAGAUUUCUUAGAUUAGGCUUUUAAAGGUGUUGAUCUAAUAUGCUUAUGAUAUGCCAAAUUAAGGUUAGCUUGGGGUCACUCGUGAUCCUAGGUCUCGUGAUACGUCAAGCGGGUAACCUCGGGGAGUGACAAAAACAAUGUAUGAAUAAAAGCCUCUAACUAACUAGAGAUGUUGGGACAAGCCCCCAGCUAACUCUAGCAAAACUGAAACUAAAAUGAAAGACUGAAUAUAAAAACAUGUAAAUCGUCCUAAAAAAAUGAGGACUCACCACUGAUACUGCUGAAUACGGAUCGGGAACCGAUCUCCAUGUGAUCUGAAUACUGAGGAUCUGAACCUACAUCAAGAGAAGAGGCUAGUAUAGUAUGUAUCAGCAGUUGAAAGAUUCUGAGCAUGCAUGACAUGACAAAGCUGAACAAAUAUAUAUAACUUAACUUAAAUGUAUCGUCCUCGAAUAUAUUGAAGAAUAAUAUAAUCUGAACAUGAUGAAUAAGAGUUUAGGUUUUUGUUAAGGGAUUUUAAUGUUAGGGUUUAGAGCUUAAGUUUUUCUAAAAAGUUUUAGGUCAAGAGUUGUUUUUCAAUUUAGGAUUGAUAAAGAUUUUUUAGAAUCAAUAUUGUUUUUACGAUAUAUGAGUUCAUAGGCUUAGGACUUAGGGUUUUAGAUUAAGGAAUUUUUUUAGUGUUUUAAGGUUUGUUUUGGAAUUUUUAGUUUUAGGGUUUUAAAGGUUUUUAUUGUUUAGCUCUUCUUAGGAUUUCUUAGGGUUUAGGGCUUCUUAGAGUUUCAUAAGUCUUAGGGUUGGGAGUUUAUCCCUAAGGUUUAGGUUUUAAGUUUCUUCGGGUUUGAGUUUAAAAUUUAAGGUCUCCUAGGUUUUUUUUGGGUCAUUUAGGGUGUAGGUGUUUAGGGUUUAGUGUUUUAGGUUUAGGGUUUUUCUACGGUUUAGGGUUUAGGUUUGUUAGGUUUAAGAUUUUUUAGGUUUAGAGUUUUUAAAAUUUUUUUGUUGUUUUUUAAUGUUUAUAUUUUUCAGGAUUUAGGAUUUCUUUAAGUUUAGGGCUUCUUAGAGUUUCAUAAGGCUUAGGGUUGGGGAUUUAUCCCUAUGGUUUAGGGUUUAAGAUAUUUAGGAUUUGAGUUUAACAUUUAAGGUCUCCUAGGUUUUUUUUGGGUCAUUUAGGGUGUAGGUGUUUAGGGUUUAGUGUUUUAGGUUUAGGGUUUUUCUACGGUUUAGGGUUUAGGUUUGUUAGGUUUAAGAUUUUUUAGGUUUAGAGUUUUUAAAAUUUUUUUGUUGUUUUUUAAUGUUUAUAUUUUCUUAGGAUUUAGGAUUUCUUACGGUUUAGGGCUUGUUAGAAUUUCAUAAGGCUUAGGGUUGGGGGUUUAUCCCUAAGGUUUAGGGUUUAAGCUUUUUAGGGUGUGAGUUUAACAUUUAAGGUCUACUAGGUUUUUUUUUUGGGUCAUUUAGGGUCUAGGGGCUUAGGGUCUAGUGCUUUAGGUUUAGGCGUUUUCUAUGGUUUAGGGUUUUAGGUUUGUUAGGUUUAAGAUUUAAUAGGUUUAGAGUUUGUAAAGUUUUUUUUGUUGUUUUUUAAUGUUUAUAUUUUCUUAGGAUUUAGGAUUUCUUUGGGUUUAGGGCUUCUUAGAGUUUCAUAAGGCUUAGGGUUGGGGGUUUAUCCCUAAGGUUUAGGGUUUAAGCUUUUUAGGGUGUGAGUUUAACAUUUAAGGUCUACUAGGUUUUUUUUUUGGGUCAUUUAGGGUCUAGGGGCUUAGGGUCUAGUGCUUUAGGUUUAGGCGUUUUCUAUGGUUUAGGGUUUUAGGUUUGUUAGGUUGAAGAUUUUUUAGGUUUAGAGUUUGUAAAGUUUUUUUUGUUGUUUUUUAAUGUUUAUAUUUUCUUAUUUUAGGGUUUAGGGUUUAGGAACUUUGGUUUUAGGGUUUAUAAGGGUUUAAGGUUUAGAGUUUCUUAGGGUUUCUUCGUUUAGGUUUUAGGGAUUCGGAUUUUAGGUUAAGUAUUUUUUAGAGUUUAUGGGUUUUUUUAGGUUUAUGAUUUUUAUGAUUAAGGUUUUCAAAUGUUUUAGGGUUUCUUAGGUAUUUUUAAGAAUCUGGAUUUCUUAAGAUUAAUGAUUACGUAAGCCUAUUAUAUUUUGGGUUUUUUCUAGGGCUUAUGGUUUUAAAGGGAUUUUUUUUCCUCGGGUAUUAUAGUUUUAGGUGUUUAUAUGGAUUUUAGGGUGUAGGAUUUCUUAGGAUUCCAUAUGGUUUGGGGUUUAAGGUUUUAGCCCUAUGAUUUUAUAGUUUUAGGAUUUAGAGUUUCUUAGGGUAUAUUAUUUAGCGUUUAGGAUUUCUUAGGGUUUGGUUUUUUUAAAAGUUUUUAGUAUUUAGGGUUUUGGGCUUAAGAUUUUCUAGGGUUUUAUUAAGUUUUGAGGAAUUUUUAGGUUUUUAAGGUAUUUAGGAUAUUUAUGGUUUGUUAACGAUUAAGGGGUUCUUAGAUCUUACGGAUUUUAUAGGGUUUUUAGGGUUUACGGUUUUUAAAAGUUCAGGGUUUUUAAAGUUUAGUGUUUCUUAAGGUUUAGCCCUAAGGUUUAGGGUUUCUUUGAGUAUACUGUGUAAGUUUUUAUUGAAGGGUUUUUAAGGUUUAGGGCUUACAUUUUUGUUGAAUUUUUUAGGUUUAGAGUUUUUUUAGGUUGAAUUGUUAUGAUUUCCUACGGUUUAGGGGUUCUUAGGGCUUAGAAUUUCUUUGGGUUUAGGGCUUAGGAUUUUAAAUUUAGGGUUUUUAGGGGUUACGGGUUUUAAAGGUGUUUUUAGGUUUAUUAUUUUUAAACGUGUUUUUAGGCUUUAGGGUUUGUUGGUGUUUCACAAGUCUUGAGGUUUAGGGGUUUCCCUAAGGUUUAGGGUUUAGUGUUUCUUAGGGUUUAGGAUUUUAAAAGGGGUUACCAAGAUUGUUAUGAUUUCUUACGAUUUAGGGGUUAAGGCUAAGGGUUUCUUUUGGGUUAAUGGCUUAGGAUUUUAAAUUUAGUAUUUUUAGGGUUUACGGGUUCUAAGGGUGUUUUUAGGCUUUAGGGUUUGUUGGUGUUUCAUAAGUCUUGGGGUUUCCCUAAGGUUUAGUGUUUAGUGUUUCUUAGGGUUUAGGGUUUCUUAGGGGUUUUAUAUUUCUUAGAUUAGGCUUUUAAAGGUGUUGAUCUAAUAUGCUUAUAAUAUGCCAACUUAAGGUUAGCUUGGGGUCACUCGUGAUCCUAGGUCUCGUAAUACGUCUAGCGGGUAACCUCGGGGAGUGACAAAAACAAUGUAUGAAUAAAAGCCUCUAACUAACUAGAGAUGCUGGGACAAGCCCCUAGCUAACUCUAGCAAAACUGAAACUAAAAUGAAAGACUGAAUAUAAAAACAUGUAAAUCGUCUUCAAAAAAUGAGGACUCACCACUAAUAUUGCUGAAUACGGAUCGGGAACCGAACUCCAUGUGAUCUGAAUGCUGAGGACCUGAACCUACAUCAAGAGAAGAGGUAGCGUAGAGUAUGUAUCAUCAGUUGAAAGAUUCUGAGCAUGCAUGACAUGAUAAAGCUGAACAAAUAUAUAUAACUUAACAGAGCAUAUUGAAGAAAAAUAUAAUCUGAACAUGAUUAAUAAGAGUUUAGGUUUUUGUUUAAGGGAUUUUAGGUUAGGGUUUAGAGCUUAAGUUUUUCUAAAAAAUAUUAGGUGAAGAGUUAUUUUCAAUUUAGGGUUGAUAAAGAUUUUUUAGGAUCAAUAUUCUUUUUACGAUAUAUGAGUUCUAAGGGCUUAGGACUUAGGGUUUUAGAUUAAGGAAUUUUUUUAGUGGUUUUGAGGUUUGUUUUUGUAAUUUUUUAGUUUUAGGGUUUUAAAGGUUUUUAUUGUUUAGCUCUUCUUAGGAUUUCUUAGGGUUUAGGGCUUCUUAGAGUUUCAUAAGGCUUAGGGUUGAGGCUUUAUCCCUAAGGUUUAGGUUUUAAGUUUCUUAGGGUUUGAGUUUAACAUUUAAGGUCUCCUAGUUUUUUUUGGGUCAUUUAGGAUGUAGGUGUUUAGGGUUUAAGGUUUUUCUACGGUUUAGGGAUUAGGUUUGUUAGGUUUAAGAUUUUUUAGGUUUAGAGGUUUUAAAGUUUUUGUUAUUUUUUAAUGUUUAUAUUUUUUAAGAUUGAGGAUUUGUUAGUGUUUAGGGCUUCUUAGAGUUUCAUAAGGCUUAGGGUUGGGGGUUUAUCCCUACGGUUUAGGGUUUAAGCUUUUUAGGGUUUGAGUUUAACAUUUAAGGUCUCCUAGUUUUUUUUUGGGUCAUUUAGGGUCUAGGGUUUAGCGUUUAGUGUUUUUGGUUUAGGGGAUUUCUAUGGUUUAGGGUUUUAGGUUUGUUAGGUUUAAGAUUUAAUAGGUUUAGAGUUUGUAAAGUUUUUUUUGUUGUUUUUUAAUGUUUAUAUUUUCUUAGGAUUUAGGAUUUCUUUGGGUUUAGGGCUUCUUAGAGUUUCAUAAGGCUAAGGUCCAGGCUCUAUCCCUAAAGUUUAUGGUUUAGGUUUCUUUGGGUUUGAGUUGAACAUUUAAAGUCUCUUAGUUUUUUUUUGGGUCAUUCAGGAUGUAGGGUUUAGUGUUUUAGGUUUAGGGUUUUUCUAGAAUAGGGUUUAGGUUUGUUAGGUUUAAGAUUUUUAGAGGCUUUCUAGGUUUAGAGUUUAUAAAAAUAAAUUUAUUGUUUUCAACGGUUUUGGGUUUCUUAGUGCUUUUUUGGGUUUAGGGUUUUGGCUUAUGAUUUUUAUGGGUUUAGGGUUCAAGGUUUAGAUUUUGGAAUUUAGGGUUCUUUAGGUUUAGGGUUUUUAAAGUUUUUUUAGGUUUUUUAGGGUUAAGUUUUUCUUAAUGAUUUUUAGGGUUUAGGAUUUCUUAGUGAUUUUUUAGGGUUUAGGAUUUAGGAUUUUAGGUUUUAUGGUUUAUAAGGGUUUAAGGUUAAGAGUUUCUUAGGGUUUCUUCGUUUAGGUUUUAGGGAUUCGAAUUUUAGGUUAAGUAUUUUUUUAGAGUUUAUGGUUUUUUUUAGGUUUAUGAUUGUUAUGAUUAAGGUUUUCAAAUGUUUUAGGGUUUCUUAGGUUUUUUUAAGAAUUUGGAUUUCCUAAGAUUUAGGAUUACGUAAGCCUAAUAUAUUUUGGGAUUUUUCUAGGGCUUAUGGUUUUAAAGGGAUUUUUUUUCCCUCGGUUAUUAUAGUUUUAGGUGUUUAAAUGGAUUUUAGGGUGUAGGAUUUCUUUGGAUUCCAUAUGGUUUGUGGUUUAAGGUUUAGCCCAAUGAUUUAGAGUUAAGGAUUUAGAGUUUCUUAGGGUAUAUUAUUUAUCGUUUAUGAUUUCUUAGGGUAUGGUUUUUUUAAGAGUUUUUAGGAUUUAGGGUUUUGGGCUUAAGAUUUUCUAGGGUUUUAUUAGGUUUAGAGGAAUUUUUAGGUUUAGGGUUUUAAGGUAUUUAGGAUUUUUAUGGUUUGUUAAAGAUUGAGGGGUUCUUAGAUCUUACGGAUUUUAUAGGGUUUUUAGGGUUUACGGUUUUUAAAAGUUUAGGGUUUUAAAAAUAUUUUAGGGUUUUUUUUUAUUUCAUAAAGUUUAGGGUUUCUUAAGGUUUAGCCCUAAGGUUUAGGGUUUUUUGGGUAUAAGGUCUAAGUUUUUAUUUAAUGGUUUUUAAGGUUUAGGGCUUACGUUUUUGUUGAAUUUUUUAGGUUUAGAGUUUUGUUUAGGUUUAGCAUUUUAAAAGUGGUUUUCAGGAUUGUUAUGAUUUCCUAUGGUUUAGGGGUUCUUAGGGCUUAGAAUUUCUUUGGCUUAAGGGCUUAGGAUUUUCAAUUUAGGGUUUGUAGGGGUUCCGGGUUUUAAGGGUUUUUUUAGGUUUAGUACUUUUAAAGGUGUUUUUAGGCUUUAGGUUUUGUUGGUGUUUCACAAGUCUUGAGGUUUAGGGGUUUCACUUAGGUUUAGGGUUUAGUGUUUCUUAGGGUUUAGGAUUUUAAAAGGGGUUUUCAAGAUUGUUAUGAUUUAUUACGAUUUAGGGGUUCUUAAGGCUUAGUCUUUCUUUCGGUUAAGGACUUAAGAUUUUAAAUUUAGGGUUUUUAGGGGUUACGGGUUUUAGGGGUGUUUUUAGGCUUUAGGGUUUAUUGGUGUUUCAUAAGUCUGGGGUUUCCCUAAGGUUUAGGGUUUAGUGUUUCUUAGGGGUUUUAGAUUUCUUAGAUUAGUCUUUUAAAGGUGUUGAACUAAUAUGCUUAUGAUAUGCCAACUCAAGGUUAGCUUUGGGUCACUCGUGAUCCUAGGUUUUGUGUUACGUCAAGCGGGUAACCUCGGGGAGUGACAAAUACCAUGUAUAAAGAAAAGCCUCUAACUAGAUAUGCUGGGACAAGCUCCCAGCUAAAUCUAGCAAAACUGAAACUAAAAUGAAAAACUGAAUAUAAAAAUAUGUAAAUCGUCCUCGAAAAAUGAGGACUCACCACUGAAAUUGCUGAAUACAAAUCGGGAACCGAUCUCCGCGUGAUCUGAAUGCUGAGGACCUGAACCUAUAUCAAGAGAAGACGUAGCGUAGAGUAUGUUUCAGCAGUUGAAAGAUUCUGAGCAUACAUGACAUGACAAAGCUGAACAAAUAUAUAUAACUUAACAGAGAAUACUGAAGAAUAAUAUAAUUCGAACAUGAUGAAUAAGAGUUUAGGUUUUUGUUUAAGGGAUUUUAGGUUAGGGUUUAGGGCUUAAGUUUUCUAAAUUUUUUAGGUCAAGAGUUGUUUUCAAUUUAGGAUUAAUAAAGAUUUUUUAGGAUCAAUAUUGGUUUUACGAUAUAUGAGUUCUAAGGGCUUAGGACUUAGGGUUUUAGAUUAAGGAAUUUUUUUAGGGCUUUUAAGAUUUGUUUUUGGAAUUUUUAGUUUUAGGGUUUUCAAGGUUUUUAUUGUUUAGCUCUUCUUAGGAUUUCUUAGGGUUUAGGGCUUCUUAGAGUUUCAUAAGGCUUAGGGUUGGGGGUUUAUUCCUAAGGUUUAGGGUUUAAGUUUCUUGGGUUUGAGUUUAACAUUUAAGGUCUCCAAGGUUUUUUUUGGGUCAUUAGGGUGUAGGUGUUUAGGGUUUAGUGUUUUAGGUUUAGGGUUUUUCUACGGUUUAGGGUUGUUAGGUUUAAGAUUUUUAAGGUUUAGAGUUUUUAAACUUUUUUUUGUUAUUUUUUAAUGUUUAUAUUUUUUAGGAUUUAGGAUUUCUUAGGGUUUAGGGCUUCUUAGAGUUUCAUAAGGCUAAGGUCCAGGCUUAUCCCUAAGGUUUAGGGUUUAAGCUUUUUAGGGUUUGAGUUUAACAUUUAAGGUGUCUUAGGUUUUUUUUGGGUCAUUUAGGGUCUAGGGGUUUAGGGUCUAGUGCUUUAGGUUUAGGCGUUUUCUAUGGUUUAGGGUUUUAGGUUUGUUAGGUUUAAGAUUUUUUAGGUUUAGAGUUUGGAAAGUUUUUUCUGUUGUUUUUUAAUGUUUAUAUUUUCUUAGGAUUUAGGAUUUCUUAGGGUUUAGGGCUUCUUAGAAUUUCAUAAGGCUUAGGGUUAGGGGAUUAUCCCUAAGGUUUAGGGUUUAGGUUUCGUAGGGUAUGAGUUGAACAUUUAAGGUCUCCUAGGUUUUUUUUGGGUCAUUCAGUUUUGUAGGGUUUAGUGUUUUAGGUUUAGGGUUUUUCUAGAAUAGGGUUUAGGUUUGUUUGGUUUAAGAUUUUUUAGAGGUUUUCUAGGGUUAGAGUUUAUAAAAAUAAAUUUAUUAUUUCAAGGGUUUUGUGUUUCUUAGUGCUUUUUUGGGUUUAGGGUUUGGGGUUUUCUUAGGGUUGAGGUUUUGGGCUUAUGAUUUUUAAUGGUUUAGGGUUCAAGGUUUAGAGUUUUGAAUUUAGGGUUCUUUAGCUUUAGAGGUUUUCAAGUUUUUUUUUUUAGGUUUUUUAGGGUUUAGUUUUUCUUAGUGAUUUUUAGGGUUUAGAAUUUCUUAGUGAUUUUUUAGGGUUUAGUGUUUAGGAUCUUAGGUUUUAGGGUUUAUAAGGGUUUAAGGUUUAGAGUUUCUUAGGGUUUUUUAGUUUAGGUUUUAGGGAUUCGGAGUUUAGGUUAAGUGUUUUUUUGAGUUUAUGGUUUUUUUUAGGUUUAUGAUUUUUAUGAUUAAGGUUUUUAAAUGUUUUAGGGUUUCUUAGGUUUUUUUAAGAAUUUGGAUUUCUUAACAUUUAGGAUUACGUAAGCCUAAUAUAUUUAGGGUUUUUUCUAGGGCUUAUGGUUUUAAAGGGAUUUUUUUUCCUCGGGUAUUAUAGUUUUAGGUGUUUAAAUGGAUUUUUGUGUGUAGGAUUUCUUAGGAUUCCAUAUGGUUUGGGGUUUAAGGUUUAGCCCUAUGAUUUAGAGUUUCUUAGGGUAUAUUAUUUAGCGUUUAGGAUUUCUUAGGGUUUGGUUUUUUUAAGGGUUUUUAGGAUUUAGGAUUUUGGGCUGAAGAUUUUCUAGGGUUUUAUUUGAUUUAGGGUUUUAUUAGGUUUAGAGGAAUUUUCAGGUUUAGAGUUUUAAGGUGUUUAGGGUUUUGAUGGUUUUUUACCGAUUAAGGGGUUCUUAGAUCUUACGGAUUUUAUAGGGUUUUUAGGGUUUACGGUUUUUAAAAGUUUAGGGUUUUAAAAGUUUUUAGGGUUUUUUUCUUCUUAAAGUUUAGGGUUUCUUAAGGUUUAGCCCUAAGGUUUAGGGUUUCUUUGGGUAUAAGGUCUAAGUUUUUGUUUAAGGGUUUUUAAGGUUUAGGGUUUAAGUUUAUGUAGAAUUUUUUAGGUUCAACGUUUUUUUAGGGUUAGGAUUUUUAAAGGUUUAGGGUUUGUUGGUGUUUCAUAAGUCUUGGAGUUUCCCUAAGGUUUAGGGUUUAGUGUUUUAUAGGGUUUAGUGUUUCUAAGGGGUUUUAGAUUUCUUAGAUUAGGCUUUUAAAGGUGUUGAUCUAAUAUGCUUAUGAUAUGCCAACUCAAGGUUAGCUUAGGGUCACUCGUGAUCCUAGUUCUCGUGUUACGUCAAGCGGGUAACCUCGGGUAGUGACAAAAACAAUGUAUGAAUAAAAGCCUCUAACUAACUAGAGAUGCUGGGACAAACCCCCAGCUAACUCUAGCAAAACUGAAACUAAAAUGAAAGACUGAAUAUAGAAACAUGUAAGUCGUGUUCGAAAAAUGAGGACUCACCGCUGAUAUUGCUGAACACGAACCGAUCUCCGCGUGAUCUGAAUACUGAGGACUUGAACCUACCUCAAGAGAAGAGGUAGCGUAGAGUAUGUAUCAGUAGUUGAAAGUUUCUGAGCAUGCAUGACUGAUAACGUUCAAAUAUACUUCUUGAAAAGAAAUAUAAACUAUCGUAUGCAAUAUAUUACCCAACUAUGAGUCGGGGUCGAUCCCACAGAGAAUAUGGAAGAAUAUUGUCAAUAGCAAAUAUUUAACUCGAUAGUCGUUAUAUAAAAAUGAGGGGAUUUAAAUAGAAAUAAAAUAAAAUUAAUAAAAAGAUAACUUUGAACUAAGUAUUUAUUUAUAUUCAGAUUAUGAAAUAACUAGGAAUGUGUUCCCCAUAAGCUCAUAACGCAAUAAUCCUAAUAAUAGUAAUCUUUAUCUAGUGUAUUACAUGCAAAGUGAUAAGUUAGGUAUCUCUAAAUCCUUGAUCCGGCAUCUAAAGAAUUUCACCCCGCACCUUGAUCCGGCUACGUGUGUAUAAUUACUAACCCUUACCUUUACCUAUUAGAUAGUAUCACACUAAAUCUAUGUUGAUAAUUCUUUUCUUGUUAAUUACCUCCUUGGUCCGGCAAGUAGUAACAAGGCGAGUUCUAACGUUGGCCACCGUUAAAAAGACUUCUAAACGAAAGAAUUAUCAAUGCAUGCAAAACACUAUUCAAGAAUUGCUUAGUUAUUAUUCAUACUUUGUUAAUCGGUUAUGGUUCUCACAACCCUAGUUAUGAAAGUUAGCUACUCAUUAUCUCAAAAAAACACAAACAAAAUUUAUUAAAAUAAAUAUGCUUGUGUUAAUCAUAAAAAGUUAAGAACAAUAGCUAAACUAUCUUUUAUUAAUCACGAAUACAAAUAAAUAAUAAAGGAGAAGAAAGAAUAAACCACAAUUCUCCGGCCUCCACGACGGCUCUUCCAAAGUUCCUAAGCUAGAAGAAAAUUUAUAUUGUGUCUUGUAGCUUGGUUCUCCCCAAAUAAUUAUUUCCAUCCCCUAUUUAUAGAUGUAGGAAACUCUAAAUAAAAUAAUUGAGUCCAAACAAAUUAGGAAAUCAAAACCCGAAAGGAAUUGGAUUCCUUUUUCUCCGCGUGUAGCUUCCAAUUUUGUGCGUGUAACUUCUUUUGAUGUUGCUGCCUGAUACGUGGACCAGCAGGUAAGUUUUUCUUUCCUUAUUUGCAUAAAAAUUAUAUUAAUAUUAUCCUAACUUAUUUCCAUUAAGCUGCCUGCUUGAUUUCCUUCUUUAACUUUUCAUCUUUAAUUUGUUUUAGCUCCAAACAUCUCCAAUUUUCCAUCAAUUUAAUCCUACAAAUAAAAUACACAAUUUAUCACAAUCCAUAAAAUUUAUGCUCAUAAAGGAAAAAUAUAAAUACUAAAUGUGAGGCAAAUAAUGAUUAAAAAUAUGUAUUUUGACCUCACAUCAACGACAUGACAAAGCUGAACAAAUAUAUAUAACUUAACAGAGCAUAUUGAAGAAUAAUAUAAUCUGAACAUGAUGAAUAAAAGUAUAGGUUUUUGUUUAAGGGAUUUUAGGUUAGGGUUUAGAGCUUAUGUUUUUCUAAAAAAUUUAGGUCAAGAGUUGUUUUCAAUUUAGGGUUGAUAAAGAUUUUUUAGGAUCAAUAUUGUUUUUACGAUAUAUGAGUUCUAAGGGCUUAGGACAUAGGGUGGGUUUUAGAUUAAGGAAUUUUUUUAGGGUUUUUAAGGUUUGUUUUGUGAAUUUUUAGUUUUAGGGUUUUAAAGGUUUUUAUUGUUUAGCUCUUCUUAGGAUUUCUUAGGGUUUAGGGCUUCUUAGAGUUUCAUAAGGCUUAGGGUUGGGGGUUUAUCCCUAAGGUUUAGGGUUUAAGCUUUUUAGGGUGUGAGUUUAACAUUUAAGGUCUACUAGGUUUUUUUUUUGGGUCAUUUAGGGUCUAGGGGCUUAGGGUCUAGUGCUUUAGGUUUAGGCGUUUUCUAUGGUUUAGGGUUUUAGGUUUGUUAGGUUUAAGAUUUUUUAGAGGUUUUCUAGGGUUAGACUUUAUAAAAAUAAAUUUAUUGUUUUCUAGGGUUUUGGGUUUCAAUUUUAUUGUUGUUUUUUAAUGUUUAUAUUUUCUUAGGAUUUAGGAUUUCUUUGGGUUUAGGGCUUCUUAGAGUUUCAUAAGGCUUAGGGUUGGGGGUUUAUCCCUAAGGUUUAGGGUUUAAGUUUCUUAGGGUUUGAGUUUAACAUUUAAGGUCUCCUAGGUUUUUUUUUGGGUCAUUUAGGGUGUAGGUGUUUAGGGUUUCACUACAAGAAAUAUAACUUUUAACGACCAUUUUUUAACGAAGGGACGUGAAUUCCGUCGUUAUAAAUAUAAUUUCAACGACCAAUUGUUUUCCCGAUCGUUAAAGCUAAUUUUAGCUCAAUAUUAGCCUCGAGAUAAUAUCUUAUCAUAACAGCCGAUCGUUAAAAAAUAAUUAAUCAAUAAAACACCUACUAAACUUUCUCUGAUUUUCUUUUCCCCAAUAUACCCUCCCACGUCUGAAAAAAAAUAAACCCACGCUUCCAUUAACACAAACAGAGUUUCAUAUUGUAGAACGUCUCGUCUUCUGCGUCACCAUCAUGUUCAUCCAGUUUCUGGGAGAAAAUUAAAUUUAUCGACUAUCUCGAUAACAAUCGUUCAUCUAGUUUCUUUUCAAGAAAAGGUUUGAAUUUUUACCCUUUUUGUAUGUUAAAUUUUGUUCAAGUAAAUAGGGUUAUUCGCACUUGUAAGUAUAUCAAUGUUUCUGUUGGUGGGUUAUUCCUUAAGAAUAUUUUCAUUGUCGAUUUCAAUUAUCCUUAUGUGGGUUAAAGAAAUUCUAAAUUAUCUUAAUAUUAGUUUUUAAAAAACUGUGACAUGGUCAAUUUUGAUAUACAAUCCCAAAAAUCAUCUUUAUCGACUUUAUGGAAUCAUCAUUGGAGUCUCUCAAUGUUAAGAAAUUUGUUGAUAAACAUGCUUCUUAUAUUCUGUAAAUGGUUAAUUUGUAUAAUUUGCAGUGGAUCCGCUUUAUCAUCAGACAUGAGCUCUCUUUGAUUAAGAUGAUGUGAAUGGUCGUUUGUUGAAUAACCUAGGAAUCUAUGGUAAUUGUUGUUCCCAUUUUGAUUCAUUUGAGAUACCUAGGUUGUCUGUACCAGAAGCAAUUCUACAUGAUAAAAUAAAGUUCAUUGAUAUAUGGUUUGCUAAGGGUUUGUACCUUCAAAUUUAUGUGGUUUGGGUUUUUUUUUCAAUUAGAUGUUUAACUUUUUCUUUAUAUGUGAUCCACUAUCAAUCGAUUGUUAUAAAUCUAUUUUUACAGUAUAGAUUUUGUUGAAGGAAUGAUGUUGAAUAUACCUAAAAAGGACGAGAUAUCGUCAAGUAUGAGCCAUAAAAUUUAUCAAUUUAGUGGAGAGAUGUUGGUACGAGCUAAAAUAGGUUUUCUUGACAAAAUUUUACCCGACUAAAAUUCUAACUCAUUAAGCCUAUGUGUGGAUAAGAUUACAUUGACCUCUCAACGUUAUGUAAAAGACCUCUCUCCAUCAAUUUGCUCAACAGAUAGGGCUUGUAUUCAUCGGUGUGACAGUGGCAACACAAUAGCUCUAGUGAGUAUAAAUUCCUUGCUUCUCGGUUAUUGAUUUAUCUUUCUAUUUAUUGUUCUUCGUUUGAUGUCUAGUUUUUAUUCCCUAGAAGAUUAUUCACAAACGAUCUUAUAGAAUUUGAAAUUUGUGCAUUUUAGAUUUGUAUAAUUUUAUUCAGAAAAUUAGUUGUUCUAUCCAUAUAAAGUUAUUGGGAACAUCAGCAAAAGAAUCAUCCAUGUAGAGAAAAUUUGUAAUUUUGGCGAUUGCAUAGUAAUUUAAACUUCAGUUUUUAUAGCCCAAGACAGAAGGUUGUAUAUCUAUAUUUUUUUCUUUGAAAGACUUAAAUGAUUGUCAUUUGUGCAAAACAUUUGCAUAAUAUGUGUUUAUUUUGAAUUGUUGUGAUGGUUUAAGAAGCAAAUGGUUGCUGCAUUUUGGCCAAAUGUUCUACAGUUCUGAACCAAAUUGCUAUCGAAUUUUGGGCUGUUCUAUUGCUACAUUUUUUGCCAGAUUAAAGUCAAUUGCUUCUAUAUGUUGAGUUACACUUGUUGCACUUUAAGUCAGCCAACUGCUACCUUUUUGCCAAAAAAAAUUACUCCUAUAAAUGCUGAACUUUGGGAAGAAUUGGAGGCUGAAGGGCCGUUGCAUUUUAGCUAAACUAAUGUUGCAUUUUGAGCAGAUUUGAUUUAAUUGCUGCUGCUUUUUUCGGGCAAAAACUGCUGCACUUGAUGCAGAUUUGUUGCUACUAUUUUGGUGCCAAUUUUAUACUAUAUGUGAUUAAGUAGCUGCUGCAUUUUUUAGGCAAUAAAAAAGAAUAUGUUCAUAAUUUAUCUAUCUCGUUCAUAUUUAUGUGCAUUUAAAAAGUGAAUAUAUCAAAGAACUUGCUGAAACUUUAUCUAUAAAAAUAAUUGAAUAGUGUUAUAAAUUCAUUAUGGUCUACGACAUAAGAAUGAAUCAACUGCUUAAUUAAGUCAUUUGACAUUUUUAAACUUGAAACUGGAACAUUCUAUGUUUGGAUCUCUCAGUAUCCAAUAGCAGAGGGAGAUUAAUCUUCUUCUCUUAACGACUAGAGUAAAUAAUUUUUUUAGUUUAGAUAUAAAUUUACUUUUGUCUGUUUUUGUAGCAUUAUCCAUUUUGCUAGGAAAAAAUACUACAAAAUGGUGUAGAGUAUUAAAUAUUGAAUGAUGUAGCACUCGUGGUGUUUUAACCUUUGUAUACUAGCACACCAAUAGUUUCGAAACUUAAACACUUCAACUCUUGUUGUAUUUAGCUUGCGGAUUUCAUGUAGCAACAUUUGUUAAUUCUUAACUUCUUUUUUACUCCAUUUAGAGGCAUAUUUAUGGGUCUUUCACUUAAUUAUACCAUCCCUCAAAGAGCAUAAACUAAAUAAGUUUGACUUGGGAAGCCUUAUAUCCUUAUCUACUCUAUUUUGGUCAUGUGCUACUAGAAAGAACCCUUAAAAAGUUUCUUCCUUGGAUGCAGAAAUGGUUUGCUAGAAUUGUUCAAAGCAUCAUUUUGAUCAAAAGCAGAUUUAAGGUUGUAGUAAUGAGUGCACAACACAUAAAGGCUCUUUCUUAGUUGGUUCUUAUUGAAAAGAGAUUUGUCUCUUUAUUAAAUUCAUCAGGUAUAUAAUUUCAAGUUUUCUUAUCAAGAAAAUUGUUCGAUUGGUUCCCCAGCUUAAUUUACUCAACAACAAGGUCAACAAAAACCUUGUCUAGGGAGGGUGUCCAUCUUGUUCUCAGGGUUCUUGUUUAAGUUGAAUUUUCUUAGCUUCGGAAUCCAUAGUUGAUAAUAGAGGUACCAGCGACAACAAAGAUUGUCCUCAUCUGCCUAACCUGCUAAGCUCAACCUCAAAACAACCUAGUAUCGAGAAGUGUGGUACCUACCUCAAGUUGGAUGCAUUCUUUUGAGGUAAUUAUAUUUCUUAUUAAUGAGCAUUUAUCUGUUGUAGGAUUUGUCCAGAAAAGAUACAAAAUUUUCUUCUUUCUUGUUUGUUAUGGCAAUUUCCUUUUGACUUGAUUGAAAGAUGAAUUAAGAAAUAUAUAUAAAAUAAGGUUCAUGUCAAUGAAGUACUUCAAAGAGAUUCAGAAAGUUAAGUUGUACAGGUUCCUAAUUUACUAUAUGACUAGUGAACUAUAUAUCAACAUCAUUUUGGAAAACAGUGGAUAUAGAGAAAAGGUCGUAAAACACCUUCGUUACUGUAUGUAGCUUGUGACAUAACUUUUGGUAGCAAUUUCUGAAAAAUAUCCUUCUGGGAAACAGAUGCUAUAAGACAUGCUAGACCCUCAACUCAAAAAAAUGGAUACACACUGCUUGUCUCAAGUUAUUUAUUAAUCCUUUAAUUGUAUAGCCACAUUAGACCGUACGUUUCUAAUUUUUUUAUUUGUUUUUUGAGUAUUUCAGUUUAUUCCCUGCUCACUGAUUUCUGUUGAAGUUGUUUUAGUCGCCUGCUCUGAAGUUAAUACUUGAAUAUUUAUUCCUCAUUUUGGUAUUUGCUUUCUUAUUCAUCAAUUUUGAUUUUAGGGAAAAAGUAGCAUUUAUUAAUAUACUAACAUGAACUUUUUCUUUUUACAGAUCAAUAAUUUGGAGUGUUAAAAACCUAUCCACGAAGAAAGUGCAAAUCAAGUAUCAACAACUAAAAUAUUCAAGAACCGGUUAAAGACCAGAGAAACCUAUUCAAUAUUUUAUUAGUUGUUUAAAUAUGUUUUCAUUGGUGCAUAAUCUUUAUAAUUGUUAUGUGUUGAAUAAAUGUCAUAAAUUUGAUAGAUGUGUUUUUAAUAAUGUUAUGAUUUAGUUUUUUGUAAUUUAUGAAAUUUUAUAUGAAUUCUGAUAUUUUUUUAUAAGUUUUUGGUUUAGUUUUAUACAUUUUUAUUAUAAUUGGAUUUUGGUUUGAAAGCAUACCGACAAUUAGAGAAUGUAAUUUCUUUCACUAAAAGAACUAAGAUUGAACAGUUUUACUACUGUAAAAAAAUGUUAGUAACGAUCGGAAUGAUAGUUCACGAAAGGAAAUGUUGAUCGCUAGAGAUAUUUAUAACGAUCGGAAUGCUAAUUCACGAAAGGAAAUGUUGGUCGCUAAACAUAUAUAUAAUGACUGGAUUUCUUGCUGUCGCUAAAGGUAUUUAACGACCGGAUUUGGAAUCCAGUCGUUAACUUUUAACGACGGAGCUUUUAGCGACCGGUGACGACCAUUUGUUUUCGAUCGUUAUAGAUUAAUAACGACCGGUACAGGACCUUUAGCGACCAAAAUUUCUCUCGCUAAAAGUUAUUUUUCUUGUAGUGGUUUAGUGUUUUAGGUUUAGGGUUUUUCUAGAAUAGGGUUUAGGUUUGUUAGGUUUAAGAUUUUUUAGGAUUUAGGGUUUAGGAUCUUAGGUUUUAGGGUAUUAGGGUUUACAACGGUUUAAGGUUUAGAGUUUCUUAGGGUUUCUUCGUUUAGGUUUUAGGGAUUCGGAUUUUAGGUUAAGUGUUUUUUAGAGUUUAUGGUUUUUUUUAGGUUUAUGAUUUUUAUGAUUAAGGUUUUUAAAUGUUUUAGGGUUUCUUAGGUUUUUCUAAGAAUUUGGAUUUCUUAAGAU
rnacentral:lncRNA from 1 species